GGGGGGGGUUGGGCAAUUUUUCUGUGCACGAAUUUUUUUUCAACCCCCAAUUGCUUGCAAGAAUUUUUUUUCUGCAACAUUCCUUUGCACAAUAUUUUUUUUAACAUAACCUAAAAAAUUUUUCCCGGAAAGUUCGUCGACGGGAGGGGGGGAAGAAGGCAUAAUUUUUUUUUUCGACUGUCGUAAAACACAUUUUAAUGUUUUAGAAUAAUUGCAUUACGAUUUUAUGCUCAUUUUUUUUUCAAUAGGCUUGUUGUGCAUGAUAUUUUUUCUGGAUUUUUUCUGUGCAUGAAUUUUUUUUUGGUAUUUGCCCAACCCUCCCCUCAAAUAUCUAAUGGUCCGUCCCUUAGCAUUAAAAUACAGUCUUCUGAUUGGUGGGUAUUUACAUGAUUGGGCAAGCCCUCAAAAUCAUUAUUCAGAAUUUAUAAUUCAUGUCUGGAAAGCUAAACAACUAUGGAACGGACCAUUAUUAGAAAAGUGAUGGGGAGUAUUUCUAAGCAGCAAUAUAUAUAUUUUUGUACAUCUAUAGAAGUAAUAUUCUUUUUCUCACUUGAUGAAAAAAACUUUUUCAUCUCUUUUUUCACAUUAUUGCACGUUGGAACAGCACUAUAGGCAUCAAUAGUAAUAAUUGAUUUAAACAUAUUUUAAUUGUUCAAACAAACGAAGUUUGCCCCAAGAGCGCAUGCGCUCAUCUA